GGUUAAGCGACUAAGCGUACACGGUGGAUGCCCUGGCAGUCAGAGGCGAUGAAGGACGUGCUAAUCUGCGAUAAGCGCCGGUAAGGUGAUAUGAACCGUUAUAACCGGCGAUUUCCGAAUGGGGAAACCCAGUGUGACUCGUCACACUAUCAUUAACUGAAUCCAUAGGUUAAUGAGGCGAACCGGGGGAACUGAAACAUCUAAGUACCCCGAGGAAAAGAAAUCAACCGAGAUUCCCCCAGUAGCGGCGAGCGAACGGGGAGGAGCCCAGAGCCUGAAUCAGCAUGUGUGUUAGUGGAAGCGUCUGGAAAGGCGCGCGAUACAGGGUGACAGCCCCGUACACAAAAGCGCAUGUGCUGUGAGCUCGAUGAGUAGGGCGGGACACGUGGUAUCCUGUCUGAAUAUGGGGGGACCAUCCUCCAAGGCUAAAUACUCCUGACUGACCGAUAGUGAACCAGUACCGUGAGGGAAAGGCGAAAAGAACCCCGGCGAGGGGAGUGAAAAAGAACCUGAAAC
rnacentral:rRNA from 1 species